rnacentral:rRNA from 1 species
AUUGAACGCUGGCGGCAGGCCUAACACAUGCAAGUCGAGCGGAUGAAGAGAGCUUGCUCUCUGAUUUAGCGGCGGACGGGUGAGUAAUGCCUAGGAAUCUGCCUGGUAGUGGGGGAUAACGUCCGGAAACGGGCGCUAAUACCGCAUACGUCCUACGGGAGAAAGCAGGGGACCUUCGGGCCUUGCGCUAUCAGAUGAGCCUAGGUCGGAUUAGCUAGUUGGUGAGGUAAUGGCUCACCAAGGCUACGAUCCGUAACUGGUCUGAGAGGAUGAUCAGUCACACUGGAACUGAGACACGGUCCAGACUCCUACGGGAGGCAGCAGUGGGGAAUAUUGGACAAUGGGCGAAAGCCUGAUCCAGCCAUGCCGCGUGUGUGAAGAAGGUCUUCGGAUUGUAAAGCACUUUAAGUUGGGAGGAAGGGCAGUAAGUUAAUACCUUGCUGUUUUGACGUUACCGACAGAAUAAGCACCGGCUAACUUCGUGCCAGCAGCCGCGGUAAGAC